rnacentral:lncRNA from 11 species
GUGAGAUGCUAUCAGUUUAAAGAAGAAUGGCAGCCUUUUUGGCUUUUCUUUGCUUGCUCAUGCUGAAAAUGAAACAGACUUUGGGAAGCUUCUGAGGUUUACAAAAUUCAAACAAGAAAAUAUUGGACAAUACAAGAGUUUGUUUCAUUAGCAUCCUCUUGGUACUGACUUAUGAA